GACAGAGGGUGCAAACGUUGCUCGGAAUUACUGGGCGUAAAGCGCGUGUAGGCGGUUUCGUAAGUCGGAUGUGAAAGCCCUCGGUUCAACCGGGGAAGUGCAUCCGAAACUGCGGAACUAGAGUCUCGGAGAGGAUCGUGGAAUUCUCGGUGUAGAGGUGAAAUUCGUAGAUAUCGAGAGGAACACCGGUGGUGAAGGCGGCGAUCUGGACGGUGACUGACGCUGAGACGCGAAAGCGUGGGGAGCAAACAGG
rnacentral:rRNA from 1 species